AAGCAUCUGAUGAUCUACUCAGAUUCCCCUUCAAGACAUUUUUGUGGGUCAUGCAAUCCUGAGUCUCUGAUGCA